UCAAAAUCACGUGUCUACAUUUUGCCCCUCCUUGUUUGAAAUCUCGAAGAGUUUUCAUACAAAGAAGUAGACAAAGAGAUGAUUUUUGACCCUCCGAUUAUUCUAAAAGUAAAUAAAAAAUAAAAGAUGUGACCGAGUCCUGGUUUUGAACCGCCUACAUAUUUCGGGUUUUGAGGAAAUCAGGUCACAUGUAGUUCAAUGAGGUAAAAUGGUGAGACAGUGAGUUAGAGAUUGAGUGAGGUUCCAUCGAGUUUCCGAUUGACGACUUCUCCUUUUACAUUUACAUGAAUAACAAAAAUAAAAUUAAAGAUACAAGUGAAAGUUCCUAUCUAUUCAGCUAUUCUAAAAUAUUGACUUGAAUCUUCAUGACUUCUCAAAUGGUGAGAUAGUCAUUAUUCCGAGUUGAACUUGAUACAUGAAAUGUUUCCCCUUGUUGGCUUUUGGCAUUAGAGGGGAACUUGACAAUUGAUUUAUUUUUCAGAUUUUUUCUGGCUUGGCCUUGAAGAUCCUAACACUAUUCUUCAGAUAGGCUCCUGACUUGCAACUGAUAAUGUUCACCCUAUUUUUCAGGCGGGCUCUUGACUUUUCUUUUUCUUCACCCUAUUCAUCAGGCGGGCUCCUGGACUUAAUUUCUUCACCCUGUUUUUUAGGGGGCUCCUGGACUUUCUUUCUUCACCCUGUUCUUUAGGCGGGCUCCUGGACUUUCUUUCUUCACCCUAUUCUUCAGGCAGGCUCCUGAACUUACAAUUUUUGAUUUUUCUAAUAUGUUCCUGAACUCAAAAUAAAAGGUGAAACAAAAAACUAACACCCCAUUCUUCAGGAGGGUCCUGUCCAAUUCUUCAUGAGGUUCCUGAGCAUAAAAUAAAUUCUCAUUCUUCAGGAGGGUCCUGAGCAAUAAGUAAAUUCCCCUUCUUCAGGAGGGUCCUGUCCCAUUGUUCAGGAGGGUCCUGAGCAUAAAUUAAAUUUUCAUUCUUCAGGAGGGUCCUGAGCAUAAAAUAAAUUUCCAUUCUUCAGGAGGGUCCUGAGCAUAAAAUAGAUUCCCAUUCUUCCGAAGGGUCCUGUCCCAUUCUUCAGGAAGGUCCUGAGCACAAAAUAAAUUUCCAUUCUUCAGGAAGGUCCUGUCCCAUUCUCCAGGAGUGUCCUGGGCAAAAAAUAAAUUCUCAUUCUUCAGGAGGGUCCUGAGCAUAAAAUAAAUUCCCAUUCUUCAGGAGGGUCAUGUCUUAUUCUUCAGGAGGGUCCUGAUCAUAAAAAAAUUCCCAUUCUUCAGGAGGGUCCUGUCCCAUUCUUCAGGAGGGUCCUGAGCAUAAAAUAAAUUUCCAUUCUUCAGGAGGGUCCUGAGCACAAAAUAAAUUUUCAUUCUUCAGGAGGGUCCUGCGCAUAAAAUAAAUUUCAGUAAACACGAACAAAAUUUUGGUCCAGUUUACACUAGAAAAUUUUGUGAGUGUCAUCUGGUCACAACUUGUGAAAAGUACAGUAAAGGGAGUGAAUCAAGGCCUUUCUAAAGAAAUGCAUCUUUUUAGAGUAAAACUAAUGACUUAGGAAAUGUGUCUCCUAACACAUGAAACUUAAAUUAACCAGACAAGAAAGUGCGUCUUCAAGGGAUUAAAUUAAAUGACUCGAACUAGAAAGUGCGUCUUCUAGGAGUGAUGGUUCAAGUUAGGAAGUGCUUCACCUAACAAAUGAAAACUGACUUAUUCAGACUAGGAAGUGCGUCUCCUAAGGAUUGAAUGAAAUGACUCGACUAGAAAGUGCGUCUUCUAGGAGUGAAGGUUCAAGUUAGGAAGUGCGUCACCUAACAAAUGAAAACUGACUUAUUCAAAUUAGAAAGUGCGUCUCCUAAGAGUUGAAUGAAAUGACUCGACUAGAAAGUGCGUAUUCUAGUAGUGAAGGUUCAAGUUAGGAAUUGCGUCACCUAACAAAUGAAAACUGAAAUACCCAGAAAAGGAAGUGUGUCUCCUAGGGGUAAAUGAUGAUGAGUUUUCACCAUGAUUGUGAUUACCAAACAUGUGUAGAAAUAUUGUCUGUUGCAUUUGCAAAAUGAGGAAUUGCAUCUUUUGAUAUUUAGGCUUUGAAGCCCUUGAAUUGAAGGUAACAUGUUUUUGUUUCAUACAAGAAAACUUUUUAAUUUAAAAACACGAUGGUUGAUUUGUGGCAUUUGGCCAGGCAAUCUCUUGCACUAGUCAUACUCAGCUCCAUUCCAAAUCGUUGAUAGGUAUUGUUGACUUGCUAUAGUAUUGACCACAAAUUCGGACUACUAAAACCUUUUGAUUCAAAUCAUAUUUCUCUUGCAUGAUGCCUCGAGAUUCAGAUUCAAAUACACCUUUUAUACUUUUAUGAGUCCAAAAAUUGUCAGAUUACAAGCAUUCUCGAGUAUUUCUAUGAGUCCAAAAACUUUUGUCUUGCUUUGCACAACUAAAGGAGUUGGUAGCAAUUUUUGAAGUUCUUCCUCAUUUAUCUUGACAAAAUUUUGACUCAAAAAUACAUGAAAGAUGACGAUAGUGAUUUUAUUUUGACCACAAAGAUACAAUAAUUUAAAAAUAAUAAUAAUAAAAAAUAGCAAUGAAAUAAAAAUAAAAAUAACAAAAAGAAUAGAAAAGGACAAUAGACAUUUUUUUUUUAAGAAAAAAGUCGAAAUAAAAAUGUUAUCUGGGUGUGGCAGCUGAUUUUAGUGAUUAUGACAUGCAUUUUGAAUUAAACAACUUGAUCUAUCCAAACUAAUCACUGUCAUUUUUUACCCACUCAUUGAAUUUGAAAGGGAGUCAUUCUUGAACUUGUUCCCUCUGGAUUAUAAUCUUCUUUAGGCUAGUGACACCUCGAUGGGUUUUCGCCAACAAGUCGCUCCCAUUUUUUUCUUUUUUAACUCAUUGUCGUCUUAUGGUUCCCAUGAAGACUUUUACCAAUAAGAAUCUCAUUUUAUUGAUCUCACAACUCACGGUCGCCUUAUGAUGCCCAAAAGAAUUUUCAUCAAUAAGACUCUCACAUUUUUUAUUUUAUUUUUUUCAGAAAAUAACACUCAAAAUAUGAAAUAUCAUGCACCCAUAACAUGUUUAGCCUUGACAUUCUCAAAGAUUGAUCUGAAGGUAUUUCUUUGAUUGUAACUUGGCUUUUGGAAUGGGAUAGAAAGAAAGGUUGGCAUGUGGCUUAAAAUUUACACAACAUUGGGUAAAAUAUACAACUUUUGGAAUCGACUCUUUUAAGAAAAUAAACUUUUGCCCCAGUUUUAUUUCAUUUUGGGUAACUUGAAUUUUUCUUUGGUUGGACCGAACCCAGAAUAGGGCUGCCUACGUAUCUUGUCAUAGCAAGAAUCAGGUUAAACGUAGUUCAGGACAUUUCUUUUGCUUAAAUAUGGAUUUUUGAUUGAUUUUUUCUCUUUCUUUUUUUUUAACUACAUUUUUCUUGAUACUUUCUUUUUUGACCUUUUCAAAUUCUAUUUUGAUUCCAAAAGAGGGGUACGAAAGAAACUAACAGUAAAGCUCAAAAGGGGUAACAAAGGAUGACAUAACAUUUGGGUAGUAGAAUGAAAUGCAUUCGUCAUAUCAAUCCUUAAAAACACAAGUACAUAACAUGUAAUCUGAGAGUAGAACAUGAAGAUCAUACGCAUCUUUUUCAUCAUAGAUCGCGACUAAGCUCAUGCACUUGCUUUACUUCUUUUAAGCUUGUGAUAUAUACAUGUCCACUUAUAUUGUAGUUUUCUCUCGAUGGAUGACUCAUGCCCUUUUGAAACUAACCUCCUUUUGCUUUUCCUGAUAGUGGAUAUUACAAAUUCUCUGAUCGACCCCAUUCAAAAUUAUCAAUUUGAAUCUUCUAAUCAAUGAUCAAGUUAUUUUCUGACUCACAAAGUGAUUGCCUCAAUACAUUCAAGUGAGGCUGUAACUAUGUGCCCAAAUACCGGAACACUUACUUAUUUUCUUAUAUAUUUUCAACUCUAUCUUCUUGGUCAAAUGUUUCAGGAUUAGAUUAGAUUUAAAGAUCAGUCUGUGAAUUCGAUAUGCAUAUUACAUCUCUAGAAUCACCAUAGAAAGAGCUCUCUAAAGAAAAGAAAGACAACAAGACAAUAUAUAAUAAAUAAUAAAUAAUAAAAUAAAAAUAAAAGGAUAUACAUUUGUUGACAGAAAGAUAGCAGAAUUUGAAUAGAAAUAAUAAUAAAACAAAGCAAGAUAGAUCCCGAACUCCAACCCUAAAAUAAUUUGGGUAGUUGAAAGAAAAACAAAACAGACUACCAAAACUCCUUCCUCAUGAGGGGCGAAGUGACUUUCAAAUUACCGAACAUAAUAUUUUAGUCACUGAUUUGCACAUCGGCCUUAGUGGAGUCUUCACAAUCAUUGCUACAUCAUUCAUUUUUUUCGCCCCAACCAUUCUGAAUUGAUCAUCGUCAAACUCUCAUCAACAGUUUCUUUUUCCCACUACUCGAUUACAAUAAUUUUUCAGAAGAGCCAAAAGAGCACCAUAACCUUUGUACAUGUCCAACUUUGGUGUUUUGGACUCUAGAGGCAAGUGAACAUUGUGAAACAUAUACAUAUCCUUGUAAGAAACUCUCUUUUUCUCUCUCAAUAUUUGUAUGUUUCUUAUAUUUUGCUCCAAAUUUCUCACUUUCCAAGCCAUUUCUUCUUAUUCCUCACUUUUAAUAGGCUACACCAACUCAUCUCAGGCCCUAUACCAUUUUUGUGGGUUAUUUUGCCUGUUCUUUGGACCUGGUCUUGUAUGGGUGAGAUGUCAACUUAGCCACAAACCAACCACCUAAUAUUGUUUUAAUUUUGGAGAAAUAUAAUGUGUCAAAGUUCAAUUUUUUUUAAGACCACCUAAUCCAUGAAGGACUGCCUACAUAUCUCAUUAAGAUGAGAAUCAGGUGUGCGUAGUUCGUAAAAUAUAUGUCAUACAAAAUUCAGCCUCAAAACCCCUAAAGGUUCAGGGCUAUUAAGAUUUAUAUAGUUUUAUUUAUUUCGUAAAAACUUAGCCUCAUGAUCCCUAAAGAUUCCGGGCUAUUGAAAUAUAUUUUUAUUUUAUUAUUAUUAUUAUUUAUUUUUAUUUUUUUGUGUAAAACCUUAUCCUCAUGAUCCCUAAAGAUUCAGGGCUAUUAAGAUAUAUAUAAAAAUUGGACUUGAAAAUUAGAAAAAUAAUUAUGAAAAUAAUUAUAUUUUUAAAGUAUUUUCUAAUAAAUCUAUGAAUAAUUUUUUAAAAAGAUAGGGUCUUAUCCUGGGAAGGACUUCCUACGUAUCUCACUAAGAUGUGAGAAUUAGAACCUCGUAGUUCAUAAAGAUUGUAAAAACUGUGUUGCUGUAUAUUUAAAGAAAAUUUUUAUUUAAAAGUAAAAAUUUUCUUUGAAAAACGAUUGACUAAAUUUGAGGAUAAAUUAAUCUCUCGCAUUUUAAAAUUGCCUAAAGCCGGUCAGCAAAAUAAAUAGUCUUUCAAGCAAAUGUCAAAGAGCAGGUAGGAUGCACAUGUUAGUCUUUAUAAAUUAGGUCAUUUGUCCUAUAAAGAUCCGGCUCCUGUGCUGAAUCCCACUAAGUCAAUGCAUAUGAUGCAAAUAAAGCGGCACCUAAUAGGGAUAACCAGAUUCUGAAUUUUCAGUUCUUCUAAGUUUAAGCCUAAUAGGGAUAGGUGUCAAGACUGGCUUAGCCGAGCGGACACUCGAUCCAGGGAGGGACAACUUGAUCGGUAGCAGGGCAACACAGCCUUCGUUGUCGAUCCGAACCCCGCCUAACACGUGUGACUAUAUCCUUCACCAGGUGCCUUGACACUCCGGCUAUCUCAAAAAGAAGGUGGGAUGCAUAUGUUGCAUUCCCUCUAUCCUAUUUCAGAGAUUCAGAAGGGGUACGCGAGAGAAGACAAUAUAAAAUACAGUUGAAAUAUUAUCAAAGCAGUAAAUGAGCAACAAGUAGCACAAAAGGCCAACUAACACAAUAUCAAAAUAAUUAAAGCAAGUAAAAAUCAAUAUCCAAAGCUCGAAUUCUAAUCAAUCCCCAGCAGAGUCGCCAGAGAUGUCACACCCAUUUUCGCUCGAGGAAUCGAGUCGAAGAAUUUUUCUAAUUAAAGUGACAGUAUUGAAUAGGGAUUAAUUAAAUUACAGAGUCGCCACUUGGAAUUGAGUUUUGGUGUUCCAAGCCACCUUUUUGAAUCCCUAAUCAAAAGAACAUGACUCUUUAUUGGUCUACGAAAAUAGAAGACCGGGUAAGGAAUUCUGUUGACUGAGGGAAAGGUGUGAGGCACCCCUCGAGUCCCGUGGUUCUAGCACGGUCGCUUUUAUUGACUUAUCUUGACUUAAACUAUUUUUGAUAUAUUAUGUUAGGAUCCAAGUUCGCUCAUUUUUUAAUAUCUAAAUUAUUUAAAACUCUUGUAUUAAAUAAAUUAGUGAAAAUUAAUUUUAGAAAAAUAUUUGUCGAGGUGCAUUAUUGCAUUCUUGAAUUUUUAAACGUCUCAGAAAGAUGCGUACGCCGCAUUCUUAAUCGAGACAAAUAUAUAAAACUUACCUAACAUUAAAAAGAAAUAUAUCAUCUUUUAUAAACUCGAGGCAAUUUUGUCUUGUUUAACGAAUUCAAUAAUAAUUUUUUUUAUUAUAAAUAAUUAAAAUAAACUAGUAAAGAAUGAAUGUGACAAAAUGGGAAAUUGAACAAAUGUAAAUUUCAGCAUUAAUAUAGAUUCUAAAAGAAGUGAUAAGAAAAAUGAAAGUUAAUUUCCCGUAAAGCUAACAAAUUCCUUUAUACGGCCCCACUAUAAGAACUAAAUUAACAUAUCAUUUUUAAUUUCACUUCAUGCACAUAAAUUGACAAAUUAUGUUAAAUACUCCAAAUUCAAUUUCUAACAUAUUUAUAUUGCUAUAUAUAUGUUUUAUUAAAUCUAAUAUAUCAACUACAAUUAACCCAUGUUACAUAUUAUGUGUCAAUAUCAAUACAAAUUUCAAUAUUUUUUAAACAUAAGUUUGUAUGAUUUUCUUUAGCAUGUAUAUGCAUGUAUUAUUUUUAGAACUUUUGAAACACUAUUUUUUAAUUAUGUAAUGAAACUUUCAUAAUCCUCUGAAAAAUAAAAAUUCAACAAUUACAAAAUAAUAAUUUAAAAUUCCUAAUUAAAAGGAAACGUUACAUUUUUUCAUUAUCCAAAAAAAAAAAAAAAACAUUCUGAUGGUUAUAAUUAAUCAAACGAAUCAAGAAGAACUAUAAGCAAACAACAAGUCACAAUAUAGCAAUUGAAAAUUACUUACAAACCAACUAAGAUUACUUCUUUUGUUUUUUAUUCAAUACAGUAACAAAUUAUAAAUAAAAAGUAGAGCGGAAAAAAAAUCCUUACAUAGAUAUGCUUUAAAUAUUAAAUUAUAGAAUUAUUAAAAUAACUUUGAUCAUGAUUUGAUUCAUAACAUAACUUAUAAAAUAAAUCAAAAGAAUCUGAAUUAGAACCUGUAUGAUAAGUUAACAAAAGAUAAAAAUCAGAAUGUCGCCAUCGAAAAGCUCGAACAAAAUCAAAACUCUAAUAGUCAAACCCAAAGAACUUUUAUUUUUAUGAUUUUCUAAGUUUUCUCCUUCACAAAAUGUUCUCUGUUUUUUUUUUUGUUUUUCAAGUGUUUGCCUUUGUCCGUGUGUGUGUGCCAAUGCUAAUUUAUAUUUUUUUGGUUUAAUUUUAUAUUUUUUGGUUUCUCUCCUAAAAAUU
rnacentral:lncRNA from 1 species